rnacentral:rRNA from 1 species
AGGAUCCUUAGUAACGGCGAGUGAACCGGGAUGAGCUCAAAUUUGAAAUCUGGCGUCUUUCAGGCGUCCGAGUUGUAAUCUAUAGAGGCGUUUUCCGCGCCGGACCGCGUCCAAGUCUCUUGGAAUAGAGUAUCAAAGAGGGUGACAAUCCCGUACUUGACGCGACAACCGGUGCUCUGUGAUACGUUCUCAAUGAGUCGAGUUGUUUGGGAAUGCAGCUCUAAAUGGGUGGUAAAUUCCAUCUAAGGCUAAAUAUUGGCGAGAGACCGAUAGCGAACAAGUACCGUGAGGGAAAGAUGAAAAGCACUUUGGAAAGAGAGUUAAACAGCACGUGAAAUUGUUAAAAGGGAAACGAUUGAAGUCAGUCGUGUGGGAAGUAUUCAGCCGUCUCUGGCGGUGUAUUUGCUUCUCACGGGUCAACAUCAGUUUGAUCCGGUAGAAAAAGGCGGGAAGAAGGUGGCACCCUCGGGUGUGUUAUAGCUUCCUGUCAUAUGUGCCGGACCAGACUGAGGAACGCAGCUUGCAGCAAUGCCGGGGUUCGCCCACGUACAAGCUUAGGAUGUUGACAUAAUGGCUUUAAACGA